AUUGAACGCUGGCGGCAGGCCUAACACAUGCGAGUCGAGCGGAGCGGCGGACGGGUGGGUAAUGCCUAUGAAUCUGCCUGGUAGUUGGGGAUAACGUCCGGCAACGGGCGCUAAUACAUCAUAUUCUCAGUAGUGUCUAUGUCGGAUUAGCUAGCUGGUGGGGUAAAGGCCUACCCAGGCGACGAUCCGUCACUGGUCUGUGAGGAUGAUCAGUCACACUGGAACUGAGACACGGUCCAGACUCCUACGGGAGGCAGCAGUGGGGAAUAUUGGACAAUGGGCGAAAGCCUGAGCCAGCCAUGCCGCGUGUGUGAAGAAGGCCUUAGGAUUGUAAAGCACUUUAAGUUGGGAGGCGUUACCGACAGAAUAAGCACCGGCUAACUUCGUGCCAGCAGCCGCGGUAAUAC
rnacentral:rRNA from 1 species